rnacentral:rRNA from 1 species
UACGGGGGGGGCAAGCGUUGUUCGGAAUUACUGGGCGUAAAGGGCUCGUAGGUGGCCAACUAAGUCAGACGUGAAAUCCCUCGGCUUAACCGGGGAACUGCGUCUGAUACUGGAUGGCUAGAGAUUGGGAGAGGGAUGCGGAAUUCCAGGUGUAGCGGUGAAAUGCGUAGAUAUCUGGAGGAACACCGGUGGCGAAGGCGGCAUCCUGGACCACGACUGACGCUGAGGAGCGAAAGCCAGGGGAGCAAACGGG